GGAGGGGUGCUAGAGUGGACGAUUAGGCCGGUCUUGAAAACCGGAGUCCUUCACGGGACCGUAGGUUCGAAUCCUACCCCCUCCGCCA
rnacentral:tRNA from 2 species